GCCCCGCCGCCGCGCGCCAACAACGACAACAGCGACGCGGUGGGGGCGCCGGACCGCCUGGUGGCGGCCGUCGCCUACCUCUACCCGUUCCUCGACGGCGCGCACCACGGCCGCUUCCUCGUGGCCCAGUACCCGGUCUUCAACGCCGUGCUCAGCCCGCUCGGCCCGGCCGCGCGCCUCUUCCACUCCUCCCCGCUCACGCCCUUCCUCCUCUUCAUCACCCUCUACUUCGCCGUCGUCCGCAACCAGCAGGCCUUCUCCCGCUUCGUGCGCUUCAACGCCAUGCAGGCCGUCGCGCUCGACGUCCUGCUCAUCGUCCCGGACCUCCUCGCGCAGUCCUUCGCGCCCUCGGGGGGCGGCAUCGGGCUCGACAUCUUCACCAGCCUGGAGAACACCGUCUUCCUCUUCCUGCUCGUCUCCCUCCUCUACGGCGGGGGCGCCUGCCUGCUCGGGAUCACGCCGCGCCUGCCCAUCGUCGCCGACGCGGCCGAGCGCCAGGUGAUGUGA
rnacentral:rRNA from 1 species